UACGUAGGGGGCAAGCGUUGUCCGGAUUUAUUGGGCGUAAAGAGCGUGUAGGCGGCCAGGUAGGUCAGCUGUGAAAACUCGAGGCUCAACCUCGAGACGCCGGUUGAAACCAUCUGGCUAGAGUCCGGAAGAGGAGAGUGGAAUUCCUGGUGUAGCGGUGAAAUGCGCAGAUAUCAGGAGGAACACCAAUAGCGAAGGCAGCUCGCUGGGACGUUACUGACACUGAGGCGCGAAAGCGUGGGGAGCGAACAGG
rnacentral:rRNA from 1 species